rnacentral:rRNA from 1 species
AGUGAACGCUGGCGGUAGGCCUAACACAUGCAAGUCGAACGGCAGCACAGUAAGAGCUUGCUCUUACGGGUGGCGAGUGGCGGACGGGUGAGGAAUACAUCGGAAUCUACUUUUUCGUGGGAUAACGUAGGGAAACUUACGCUAAUACCGCAUACGACCUACGGGUGAAAGCAGGGGAUCUUCGGACCUUGCGCGAUUGAAUGAGCCGAUGUCGGAUUAGCUAGUUGGCGGGGUAAAGGCCCACCAAGGCGACGAUCCGUAGCUGGUCUGAGAGGAUGAUCAGCCACACUGGAACUGAGACACGGUCCAGACUCCUACGGGAGGCAGCAGUGGGGAAUAUUGGACAAUGGGCGCAAGCCUGAUCCAGCCAUACCGCGUGGGUGAAGAAGGCCUUCGGGUUGUAAAGCCCUUUUGUUGGGAAAGAAAAGCAGCAGGUUAAUACCCCGCUGUUCUGACGGUACCCAAAGAAUAAGCACCGGCUAACUUCGUG